rnacentral:rRNA from 1 species
AGCGAACGUUAGCGGCGCGCCUAACACAUGCAAGUCGAGCGUGAAAGGGAGCAAUCCUGAGUAAAGCGGCGGACGGGUGCGUAACACGUAGAUAACCUGCCCUUUGGAGGGGGAUAACGUUCCGAAAGGAACGCUAAUACCGCGUACAGCAAUCGGUGGUUCGCCACUGGUUGGCAAAGACUGGGAUUCGCAAGAACCAGUCGCCAAAGGAGGGGUCUGCGGCCCAUCAGCUAGUUGGCGAGGUAAUGGCUCACCAAGGCAAAGACGGGUAGCUGGUCUGAGAGGAUGAUCAGCCACACUGAUACUGGAACACGGACCAGACUCCUACGGGAGGCAGCAGUGGGGAAUCUUGGUCAAUGGGCGCAAGCCUGAACCAGCGACGCCGCGUGAGUGAUGAAGGCCUUCGGGUUGUAAAGCUCUGUGGGGAGGGACGAAAGAGCACGUUCUAACAGGACGUGUGUUGACGGUACCUCCUUAGCAAGCACCGGCUAACUCUGUGCCAGCCGCCGCAGUAA